UACGUAGGUGACAAGCGUUGUCCGGAUUUACUGGGCGUAAAGAGCGCGCAGGCGGUCGAUCAAGUCGAGUGUGAAAGCCCCCGGCUCAACUGGGGAGGGUCACGCGAUACUGAUCGACUGGAAGGCAGGAGAGGGUAGUGGAAUUCCCGGUGUAGUGGUGAAAUGCGUAGAUAUCAGGAGGAACACCUGCGGUGUAGACGGCUUACUGGACCAUCACUGACGCUGAGGCACGAAAGCGUGGGUAGCAAACAGG
rnacentral:rRNA from 1 species